GUGCUCGCUUCGGCAGCACAUUCACUAAAACUGGAACGAUACAGAGAAGAUUAGCAGGGGCCUGCAUGAGGAUGACAUGCAAAUUGAUGAAGGGUUCCAUAUUUUA